rfam:Triticum aestivum genome assembly, contig: Triticum_aestivum_CS42_TGACv1_scaffold_556115_7AL
UUGAUAUAGAUGAGGAGACACGAGUUUAUGGGUAAUUUUCGUCUGAGGCAUUUAUGUGAUGUCAUUCCUUUUCACCUUGGUGAUCUGAUGCACCCC